CAGAAUGGUCAGCAGGACAGAGAGGGGCCCAAGGCCAGCAGAGUGACCUGAGAUGACAGAACACAGGGCUUACGGAGCUGCCAGACAUUGAUACAAUUUAGGAGAGACACCCCCAUCCCUUUCUGGCUCCUGAAGAAAUGCAGGAAGAGAAAGAGGUGCUGUCUGGACCCUGCCCCCAUGCGAGGCUGUUGACUCAGUGAACUUAGGGACAAACUUAGGGGUGAGAGGGGGUGAGAGGACCCCGGGCUUGUGAGAAUGGAGCAUUAGGGAACAUGUGUAAAAUCCCUCAGGGUUCCAGAAAAACAGAGGGCAAGAAACCUGGAAGAGACACGGCCACAAGAGCAGGAGGGGCUGGGUUUGGCCUUCUGAAGUCUGAUCAUUUCUCCUAAUAUGUCCAAAGUUGUGUGUCUGGACACACCUGGGGCCAGCUGGUCACAUUAGGUCCAACGGUAUGUGGCUGAGAUAUAUUUUGCGGUAGAAAUGCAAAAUCGCACUCAUUUUUGAAAUGAAAUAUAAGGUUUCAAAAAUUUCUAGAGAUAGCUUUUCAUGACCUGUCCAAAUCGUAGAGAGCAAUUUCACUCUCCUCUGGAUGGGGGGUUGUCAGCAGGGUACUUGGAGCACGUCCACUUUCCGGGAGCCACGUAUCCUUGGUAUCUCAGAGACGGUUCCUUAACUCAAAGGUUGAUUGUUGGCAGAGGCAUUUCAAGCAUUCCAGGCACGAAAGCUCCCUGUUUGUUCUUACCUUGGGUACAAGCCUAUGACAAUUUUAAUUUAUGAUAUUGUCUCCUACUUUGGUCUAG
rnacentral:lncRNA from 1 species